CAGUAGAACUAUAGACCGUACAGUUGAUCAAGUGAAAGAAAGGUGCGAGAUGCUUCUUACUUUGCUACAAAAAAUGGUUUAGAAAAAAGAACAGUCUUGUCAACUAUAUUUAAAAAAUGUAUUCUUAACUGAGGAAAACUGUUUUAGAAAUAUACGAAGAAGCUAUGCAAAUGGUA